rnacentral:rRNA from 1 species
ACGGGAGGCAGCAGUGGGGAAUAUUGCACAAUGGGGGAAACCCUGAUGCAGCGACGCCGCGUGAGUGAAGAAGUAUUUCGGUAUGUAAAGCUCUAUCAGCAGGGAAGAAAACAAUGACGGUACCUGACUAAGAAGCCCCGGCUAACUACGUGCCAGCAGCCGCGGUAAUACGUAGGGGGCAAGCGUUAUCCGGAUUUACUGGGUGUAAAGGGAGCGUAGACGGCGUGGCAAGUCUGAAGUGAAAGCCCGGGGCUCAACUCCGGGACUGCUUUGGAAACUGUCAUGCUAGAGUGCAGGAGAGGUAAGUGGAAUUCCUAGUGUAGCGGUGAAAUGCGUAGAUAUUAGGAGGAACACCAGUGGCGAAGGCGGCUUACUGGACUGUAACUGACGUUGAGGCUCGAAAGCGUGGGGAGCAAGCAGGAUUAGAUACCCUGGUA